UACGUAGGGUGCGAGCGUUGCCCGGAUUUAUUGGGCGUAAAGGGCGCGCAGGCGGCUACGCACGUCCGUUGUGAAAUCGCUCGGCUCAACUGGGCGGGGUCAGCGGAUACGGCGUAGCUGGAGCAAGCUAGGGGGCAAUGGAAUUCCCGGUGUAGUGGUGGAAUGCGUAGAUAUCGGGAGGAACACCAGUGGCGAAGGCGGUUGCCUGGAGCUUUGCUGACGCUGAGAAGCGAAAGCAUGGGGAGCGAACAGG
rnacentral:rRNA from 1 species